rnacentral:rRNA from 1 species
CAAUAGCGUAUAUUAAAGUUGUUGCAGUUAAAAAGCUCGUAGUUGGAUUUGUGGCGUACGGUGUGUUCCGGGCACUUGUUGUCUGAGUAACCUGCUGUUGCCAUCCUUGGGUGGAACCUGUGUGGCAUUAGGUUGUCGUGCAGGGGAUGCCCAUCAUUUACUGUGAAAAAAUUAGAGUGUUCAAAGCAGGCUUAUGCCGUUGAAUAUAUUAGCAUGGAAUAAUGAGAUAGGACUUUUUUGCUAUUUUGUUGGUUUGCGCAAAGAGGUAAUGAUUAAUAGGGACAGUUGGGGGUAUUCGUAUUCCAUUGUCAGAGGUGAAGUUCUUGGAUUUUUGGAAGACGAACUACUGCGAAAGCAUUUACCAAGGAUGUUUUCAUUAA